rnacentral:lncRNA from 1 species
GUGUACAUGCACACACAGAGGCAUGCAUUUUAGUGAUGACGAAAUUUACAUAGUUAUGAAAAAUGUUUUAGUUUAAUAAAAUCUAUGAGUUCAGGAAUGAACAGAGAUUUGGAUAUCAAUAAUUUGAAGUAAUACUCUCAGGGAACUGCAAGUGGUCAAAUGCUUGCAGAGAGAAGAGAAAACUUUUGCUCUUCCUCCUUUAUGGUCUCAUUUUUGCAUCAUAUACAAUCCUCAGCCCAAGGACUAUUUGCAGGUUACUAGGCUUUAACAAACUUUUUCUGCAAAAAAAUAUAGGUACACCUGUACAAUAUUUUUACCCACUUUUUAGGCUAGCAAUAUGAGUGUCUUUCAGAACCAUCUUACUUGCCAUAAAAUAUAACAUCUGACAAAAUGUUCAGCUACAGUCCUGAACUAGAAUGAGAACAAUUCAAGCAUUUGGAUUAGUAGAUAAUAAACUGUGAUUCAGUUGAUUGAAAGCAAGAAUGAUAGAUAGGAGAGGGAUAUGGAGGAAACAUGGCUUCUUGAUCUCUCUAGUCAUAUACUAUAGAAGAGAUUUUAAAUGGUGAAGGAAAUAGAAGUCUCAACAUACAAGUAAUAGGAAUUUACAGUUUUUCAUCUACUUCAAGGAUAAACAAUAUGUCUAAG